rnacentral:rRNA from 1 species
GACGAACGCUGGCGGCGUGCUUAACACAUGCAAGUCGAACGGUGAAGCGCCUUCCUUUUUGGUGGGUGUGGAUGAGUGGCGAACGGGUGAGUAACACGUGAGUAACCUGCCCCCUUCUUCUGGAUAACCGCAUGAAAGUGUGGCUAAUACUGGAUAUUCUGGGUCUGUCGCAUGAUGGGUCUGGGAAAGAUAUUGUUUCGGUGGGGGAUGGGCUCGCGGCCUAUCAGCUUGUUGGUGGGGUGAUGGCCUACCAAGGCGGUGACGGGUAGCCGGCCUGAGAGGGUGGACGGUCACACUGGGACUGAGACACGGCCCAGACUCCUACGGGAGGCAGCAGUGGGGAAUAUUGCACAAUGGGCGCAAGCCUGAUGCAGCGACGCCGCGUGAGGGAUGGAGGCCUGCGGGUUGUGAACCUCUUUCGCCAGUGAAGCAGGCCUGCCUCGUUUGUGGGUGGGUUGACGGUAGCUGGAUAAGAAGCGCCGGCUAACUACGUG